GAGUAGCGAAGUGGCUAAACGCGACGGACUGUAAAUCCGUUCCUUAGGGUUCAGUGGUUCGAAUCCACUCUCCUCCA
rnacentral:tRNA from 5 species